UGAUAGCACAAAAAAGGCUCCAUCUACAUGGAUCUCCUUUACAGCAGGUCAAAAUUUUCAGGUGUUAAACUUUUUAGGUUUGUGUCAAAAUUUUUAGAUGUAUUUUUUUGCUUGUUAUCAGCCCAAAAAAUAUACCUCUAAAUGUUUGCUUUUCAAGAUAUUUUUUUCUUAUUAUCAGCCAAAAAUUGUACAUGUAAAUAUUUUUUUUCUUGUUAUCAACCCAGAAAAUGUACCUGUAAAUGUAUUUUCAUAUGUAAUUGUACCCAGAAAUGAUUUUUUGUUUGUUAUCAGCCUAGAAA